rnacentral:lncRNA from 1 species
AUAUAUCUUUGCUGUGAGUAUCAUGAGCAAAUAUCGAUUGAAUCUAGGCUAAGAGCACUAGACAACUAUGAAAAACAUCCUUGAGAAGGACUUAGAUAUGUUCAUAGUCUUUAAAGAAGAAAGUUGAGGGUAUAAGGAUUCACAGAUUCAGACUUUAUGUCUGAGAUUGAUAGUACAGAAUCUAUAUUAAGGUGUGUUUCCU